AAAAAUGAAGACGGGACAUUUUGAAAUAGUCACCAUGCUGCUGGCAACCAUGAUUCUAGUGGACAUUUUCCAGGACUAAAAACCGAAAACUGUAUUGAGAACCUAGAAUAUUUUCAGCCCAUCUAUGUCUACAACCCUGGUGAGAAAAACCAGAAGCUUGAAGACCAUAGUGAGAAAAACUGGAAGCUUGAAGACCAUGGUGAGAAAAACCAGAAGCUUGAAGACCAUGGUGUGAAAAUCCUUGAACCCACCCAAAUACCUGCUCCAGGUCCAGUUCCUGUUCCAGGUCCCAAAAGCCAUCCUUCUGCAUCCUUGGGCAAACUGCUGCUUCCACAGUUUGGGAUGGUCAUCAUUUUAAUCAGUGUUUCUGCUAUAAAUCUCUUUGUUGCUCUGUAGUUUGAUGCAUUGUUUAUC
rnacentral:sRNA from 1 species